CUGCUAAGCUGCUGGGUUGGCAGUGCUAUUUGGCCUACUGAUAUUGGGCCUGCUCAUUGGGCUAUUUUUUUCUGCUGCUCUUCUUUUUUUUUGGGUUUGUUGUUUUUUUUGGGGGGGUUGCUGUUGCGGGCCUACUGGGUCGGGUCGGUCAAUCGGGUUGGGUCGGUUUGACCCGUCUAUUUUAGAUUUUUUAUUUUUUUCUUUCCUUUUCUUCUUUCUUCUUCUUUCUUUCUUUCUUAUUCCAUUUUUCUUCCUUCCCCGUUCAGCCCUCCUCUUCCUCUGCUUUCACCGACGGUGACCUGCUGACCAGCGACGGCCGGCGGUGGCGCGCACGGUGUUGGGACGGUGGUGACAGGUGGUGGGCACGGUGGCGCGCGGUGGAGCUACUAUUUUCCUUGUGUUUUGCUAUUUUAAAAAAAAAUUUAUUUGUUGCCCGAAUCCCCCUCUUUCUCUCAUUUUCUUCUUUUAAAUCCUUCAAUUUUGUCUUAUUCUUUAUUUUCAGGUGGCAGCGGAGGAGGGGGAGCAUGCCCAACAGCCGAUUUGGGGUGUCAGGCGUGGAGAGCGGGGCACGCCCGAAUGCUGACUGGGGGCAUCUUGUCAUGCCCAGAAGGACCAAAUUGUAAAGGGUGCAAAGUUUCUGGGGCAAAAAUGUAAUUUUAGGAAAAUAUGGGGCCAAAAUGUAAUUUAUAGAAAGUUUAGGGGCCCAAAUGAAAAUUUAAGAAAGUUAAAAGGUCAAAAUGUAAAUGUAGGAAAGUUUAGGGUCCAAAAUGCAAUUUUAAAAAGUUAAGGGGUCAAAAAUAAUUUUAAAAA